rnacentral:lncRNA from 1 species
GAACGAUUAUUUGUGUCACUAUUUCCUGACUAGACAAUAGACUGGGGAGGUAGAAGUAGGGUCUGUUUCUGUAUCUCCAAAGCCUAGUAAAGUGCAAGACACAUCUCAGCCUUCAAUUCACGUCUGUGGAAUGAAUGAAUGACCCAUCAGCUGGGUUGAACUGUGUGUGGGAUGGUGGGAAAGAGAGUGAGAGAAGGAACUGGGGGCCAGAGCACCGAGAGCCUGGAGUCCUAAUGAGUUUGGGAUUUAUCCUUUGGACAACAGAAACUCAUCGAAAAUUUCUGAGCCAAGGAGUCCCGUGGUGCCCACCAGGUUCAGGAAGACUCACGUGCAGUGAGGCUGACGGCUGGAAGAAGGGGGCCUGCAGACAGAGCGGCCAGGGGCAGCUGUUCUGGGAGGAAAACAACACCUGGAACUCCUCGCCAGGAACUAUCAUAGAGUCGUGAGCCGCGCUCAGGAGCUUGCCAAGGAAGGAAGGACCAGAGAGAGACUCAUCUGAGGGCUGAAAGGAAUGCCACUGAACAACCCGAGGGCAAGCGCAGACUCACGGGCUUCCUGAAACACGAAGACGCAGGAACCGAACUCCGCUCCUCGACUGCGCAGAAAGUGGGACAACAUGUGUUGGCUUAAUGGGCUGUAUCUGUUGGGAUUCUGAAAAGCCUCAUGCGAAGGACAGGUCUCUCCUAAGCGACGGUGAAAAAUGAAGUCUGCAGCUGGCGAUGAAGAAGCAGGCCAGAGGAAGUCUUGCUGCAGGGAACCUGGCUGACCAACAAUUAUUUUUUAUGACAUGGCAUACAUUAUGAUGAUGGUUUCAUUUCUGGUUAUUACCCUCUAUUAAAAAGCAUCUUGAGUAUCAUGAUUACGGGGGCAUCUUAUUCCCGCCUCAGGAAUCUACUCUCAUAUUUUCAGCGAACUGUUGUUUUUCCUGGAUGUAUUAUUAUUAUCGUUCUUGUUAUGUGAUUAUAUAAACUGCUAGCUGUGAUUAUGUAAACUGCUGGUUGUCAAGUAGCUUUUUUUAUUAUCCAUUGC